UACAGAGGUCUCAAGCGUUGUUCGGAUUCAUCGGGCGUAAAGGGUGCGUAGGCGGCGCGGUAAGUCGGGUGUGAAAUCUCGGAGCUUAACUCCGAAACUGCAUUCGAUACUGCCGUGCUUGAGGACUGGAGAGGAGACUGGAAUUUACGGUGUAGCGGUGAAAUGCGUAGAUAUCGUAAGGAAGACCAGUGGCGAAGGCGGGUCUCUGGGCCGAUACUGACGCUGAGGAGCGAAAGCGUGGGGAGCGAACAGG
rnacentral:rRNA from 1 species